UGGCCGCGCACGGCGCCCGCCCCGCCUACGUGCUGCCCGCCGCCGCCGCGCCCGCGCUGCAGCCCGACGUGGACGCGCUGGCGCUGUGCGGCGUGGCGCCGGCCGACGGACUGGACGCGGCGCCCAGCCCUGACCUCGUGCUGCUGGCGCUCUACGACCCGCUGCUCGACGACCCCCAGGACAAGUAUGAAUCUGUCCUGCAGUGGGUGGGCAACUGCCGAGCCCCCAUCAUCAGCAUCGAGCCCCCGGCGCGCGGCUGGCGGAACGUGUCGGGGCGGGCCGCCGUGCUGUCGCUGGCGCCCCCGGCCGUGUCCCCCUCGCUGGGCAGACUCUACCUGGCCCACGUCGGAGCCCCCACCAAGGUGUACACGGACCUGCGCCUGGCUUACCGCCCGCCCUUCGGAGCCUCCACGUCCCUCGCGCUGCACCCGAGCGACGACUGACCCCGGACGGAGCCCGUGGACUGACGCAAACGCGUAUUUUAAAUCGUGACAUAAAUAAAUAGGUCAUUGUCAAUGUUAAAAUGAAAGGUGAUCGAUUACUAUAAAUAUAUUAAGUUAACUGACCGCGACACGCAGUCUGAUAUCGACAGUUGGCAAACUGAAUGAGAACCGAUAUAAACCAUUCGUUCGUUCGCUCGUUCGUUCAGUAGCGCGCGCGGUUUUAAAAUAAAUGACGAAUAAAUUAAAACAAAGUAAAAUGUUCGCAUAUUAAAUGCAUUUAAUUUUGAUAAGUAUUUUUAAAGUUGUAUGGCCGGGGUGAAGGCUAUUUGGUUUAACCUAAAUUUUUUCAACUUUACAGAAGAGCCAUUUAAAGUAUAAACAUGACUUUUAUUUUCUUUUUUUUUAAUGCGUUAACCAUAAUUGUAUUUCAAUUAAAAGUAGAAUUGUCGAUGCUAAUCUAUAUAUACAUAUAUAAAAAUGAAUUGCUGUUCGUUAGUCUCGCUAAAACUCAAGAACGGGUGGACCCUUUGUCUAAUUUUGGUCUUGAAUUAUUUGUAGAAGUCCAGAGAAGGUUUAAAAGGUAGAUAAAUAUGAAAAUGCUCAGAAUUAAAUAAAAAUAACAAUUUUGUUUUUCAUUUGAUGUGACCCCCGUCGGACGAAUUCCUUUUGUUUGUUUUAAGUUUAUUUUAUACAAAAGUUGAGGUCUUUUAUUUACCGAUUGAGGCACUACGAAGUCUACCGGGUCAGCUAGUACCAAAUAAAAUGGACAUUUAAUAACAAAAUUAAUAUCGCUUAAACCAAAUACCCUUCAACGAUAUACAAAUUACCGAUCAGACUCACUUGAAAAUAUGUUAGUGUAGCCAACUAAAUAUAUUAUUUUAGACUCAACGGAUCUCUUCACAUGAACUACUCGAAUAUAAAUAGUAUCUAGUAUGACACACUGAACUGGUCUCACAACCGAGUCAGUUAUUUUAAAUCAGCCUAUACAUUAUCUCUUAACUAUUUAAUGUUUAAAUCUGAUAUUCGUUCGGGAAUUUUACUGAUUUUUUGUUUAAUGCAUCAGAAAUAAGGGAGUUGUAUACAAAAACUACAUUAAAAUAUGUUCAAUAAAA